GCGUCCUGCAAGGGGAAUCUGGGAACUCUCCCGUUUCAACUGGGGCCCCAUCCGGGAUAUUCGUCAGAAGGUGCCUAGUGAAUUUGGGUCCAGUGAAGUCCAGGUCCCCUUCUCUCUACAGGACUUAAAGCAAUGUAACGGGGAUCUUGAAAUAGAAUGGGCCACCUCUUGGGGAUACAUCCUGCAGUCCUCAGGAUGGCUACAAUCGGAGGACAAUAAGCUUCAUCUACCAGCUGCCAACCAAUGGAAAGUACUUAAAAGCCUUCACUAGGCC
rnacentral:lncRNA from 1 species